UUCAUCUUUAACCAAACAACCCUAAACCGACAACCCCCUUUCAACGUUCACCUAACAGCCCUAACGCACCACCCAUCGCCGCCACCCUUGUCACGUCUGUCACCUCACCACCACCACGCCCAUAUCCCACAAAAUCCGCUACCUACACCCCUCUUCUCCUUUAUCACACUCCAUCUCUGAAGCUUGCAGGCUCCAUGUGCGAUUUCAGCGGAUUUCGGGGUAAGUCCCAUCCCUAUUUUCAUCAUCUCAUCAUAUCCCGGAGACUCGACGACGACGUUAGCCUCAGUUCGCUGUCACAAAGAAGGGGAGUUUAUUGGAGUUGUGGCUCAACUCUAAUUCUGCCCAGGUCAUAAGAGCGGCCAGCAGCAGAUUAUUUGCUCGUCUCUAGCAGUCCCACCGCGUCCACGUCUCGAGUCUCUGUCCUUCUUCCUUAUUCAAAAUUUCAAGCCUCCAUAUUGUUUGAUACAUGCUAUUUAUAUCAUUUGACUAACACUCUUGUGAAUUUGUAUUUCUUGUAGUUUUGUUUUGAUCGCGUAACUUGACUUAAGUAUAUUACUAAGUUUAGUCAUUAGCUUCCCUA